rnacentral:rRNA from 1 species
GACGAACGCUGGCGGCGUGCUUAACACAUGCAAGUCGAACGGAAAGGCCCUGCUUGCGUGGGGUGCUCGAGUGGCGAACGGGUGUGUAACACGUGAGUAACCUGCCCUUGACUUUGGGAUAACUUCAGGAAACUGGGGCUAAUACCGGAUAGGAGCUCCUGCUGCAUGGUGGGGGUUGGAAAGUUUCGGCGGUUGGGGAUGGACUCGCGGCUUAUCAGCUUGUUGGUGGGGUAGUGGCUUACCAAGGCUUUGACGGGUAGCCGGCCUGAGAGGGUGACCGGCCACAUUGGGACUGAGAUACGGCCCAGACUCCUACGGGAGGCAGCAGUGGGGAAUAUUGCACAAUGGGCGGAAGCCUGAUGCAGCGACGCCGCGUGCGGGAUGACGGCCUUCGGGUUGUAAACCGCUUUCGCCUGUGACGAAGCGUGAGUGACGGUAAUGGGUAAAGAAGCACCGGCUAACUACGUG